AGAGUUUGAUCCUGGCUCAGGAUGAACGCUAGCUACAGGCUUAACACAUGCAAGUCGAGGGGCAGCAUAGUCAAAGCUUGCUUGAUUGAUGGCGACCGGCGCACGGGUGAGUAACGCGUAUCCAACCUUCCCCUUAGUAGGGCAUAGCCCGGCGAAAGUCGGAUUAAUACCCUAUGUUGUGUCAUGAGGACAUCUGAAUAACACUAAAGAUUUAUCGCUAAGGGAUGGGGAUGCGUCCGAUUAGCUUGCCGGCGGGAUAACGGCCCACCGGGGCGACGAUCGGUAGGGGUUCUGAGAGGAAGGUCCCCCACACUGGUACUGAGACACGGACCAGACUCCUACGGGAGGCAGCAGUGAGGAAUAUUGGUCAAUGGGCGAGAGCCUGAACCAGCCAAGUAGCGUGCCAGGAUGACGGCCCUAUGGGUUGUAAACUGCUUUUAUGCGGGGAUAAAGUGACGUACGUGUACGUUUUUGUAGGUACCGCAUGAAUAAGGACCGGCUAAUUCCGUGCCAGCAGCUGC
rnacentral:rRNA from 1 species